rnacentral:rRNA from 1 species
GACGAACGCUGGCGGCGUGCUUAACACAUGCAAGUCGAACGGAAAGGUCCUGCCUUUGUGGGGUGCUCGAGUGGCGAACGGGUGAGUAACACGUGAGUACCCUGUACUUGACUGUGGGAUAACUUCAGGAAACUGGGGCUCAUACCGGAAAGGAGCUCCUGCUGCAUGGUGGGGGUUGGAAAGAUUCGGCGGUUGGGGAUGGACACGCGGCGUAUUAGAUUGUUGGUGGGGUAGUGGCUUAGCAAGGCUUUGACGGGUAGCCGGCCUGAAAGGGUGACCGGCCACAUGAGGUCUGGAAUGCGGCCCGAACUGCACCGGGAGGCAAGAGAGGGGAAUAGUGCACAAAGGGAGGGAGCCUAAUGAAACAAAGCCGCGUGCGGGAUGAAAGCAUUCGGUUAGUAUAGCUCAUUCACCUGUGCCGAAGCGUGAAUGACAGUAAUGGGUAAAGAAGCACCGGCUAACUACGUG